AGAGAGAGAGAGAGUGGGGAAGGAAACAGAGACACACUCCAGUAAAAGGGUAUUUUCAGCAUAACUUUCCCCCACAAACCCGCGUGAGUUACCACAGCGAGCAGGAUGCAGUUCAUGGCCUGACCUGAUGGUAGAGCGGAGAAUGGGAAGCGGCGACCUGACAAGAGCUGAGAUGAUUGAGCUGGAUAAAGAAGGACCAGAGCAAAGAUAAAUGCCCGCCAUAUGCGCGCACCCGCGCGACCUGUUCGUCAGACACAGCAACAUGCGCGUUACCUGUCAGACACAGAGACGUGGGCUUGCAGAAAUAUACGUUUGAAGAACAGAAGGAAGAAAACUUGUUGAUGGGCGUGUGGUUCACUGUUUACUGUUUGUUUACAAGUAAGAGCUUUUCACAACACACACGUGACACAACACGAGAAAACAUGAGCUUUGUUCAAAAAUGUGUAUUUCAUUUAAGAGAGCACUGCAGAUGUUCUAGAUCAUCUUAGGAAAUGCUCUGAGUUUAGUUCAUGAUUUAGUUUGACAUGGUCUAUUAUUCUGAAUAUGUUGUGUAAACUUGACAUCAGGACUAGAUGAAAUUUACAGAAAUGCUUAUCUCUUCUGUGUUUGUCUAUUCUUUAGUCUCUCUAGUAUAUUGCAAAGAUAUGUGCUUAUGAUAAUUAAAAAUAUUGAUAAAAAUGUAAUAUUAAAAUAUU